UUUCGCGGAAUUUUCAUCUCGAUUAUUUCUGGACUCCAAAUUCUUGGAAAGUUUCGAGACACUUUCUUUAUGCACGUCGGUUUUAUGUUCAUCCUGCUUAGAACUUUUAGAGAUUUUUUCCUUCGAGUUUUUCUUCUUUGCCUUCGGUUUAACCUUGGCUUUCUCGGUCUUCGUUUCAGUCAAGCUGGCUUUCUUAUGGUUCGAAUCUUGACCUUUUAAUUGGGUAUCUGUUGGCCUUUGAACAAUAUCUUUGAUCCUUUCCAAUAGUCCACUUCCUAAUCCAGGAAUGUUGGAAUCAUCAUUUUGAUGAGGAUCGUGAGUAGUAGACGGAUAUGCUUUAUUUUUUGUCUUUCUAUCAAUAGAGCCUUUUUUUUCUAAAGCAGCUUCUCCCUUUAAUAAAUUUCGCUUUUCCUUUCUUCUAAUAUUUGGUUUUAAAUCCAUACUUUGUGAAAAUAUGGAGGUGGUAGUAGAGUUAAGGCAUGCAAUUGUUAAAUUCACUGAGCGCAACUAGGAGAUAUAUUAGGGGCAACAAAAUAAAUGAAAUAAUUUAUACUAAAUGCAAAAUUCUAAACCAUUCAUGGAAAUCAAUAAAAUUGAUAGUCUUGACGUUCGCUCAAAUAUCUACACUACUUCAUUCUAUACUAAGCUACAGUUUCAAAAUUGAUAAAGGGCGUAUAAACUAUACAUCCAAAAAACAUAGCUUUCUAUCUUCCUCAACCAAAUAUCUGCAAGUGUAUGGUUUUUAGUAUACUUCUUGCUUCCUUUUUUGUUUUUUUGUAUCGUACUGAAAGAGCUUAGUAAAUCGAUCUAAACUUGCAAUUGUAAUAUUAGAUUCGUUCAAAAGUUGAUACUAAUCUAUUUAUUAAAGGAUGGCAAUUGAGAAGUCAUAAAGACUAACAUAAUUUUAAUUACUUUUGUAAUUGCAAUUAAAGAAAAA